GAUGAAGAACGUAGCGAAAUGCGAUACGUAAUGUGAAUUGCAGAUCUCUCAGUGAAUCAUCGAAUCUUUGAACGCACAUUGCGCCCCCUGGUAUUCCGGGGGGCAUGCCUGUCCGAGCGUCAUUACAACCCUCAAGCUCAGCUUGGUGUUGGGCCCCGCCGCCCCGGCGGGCCCUAAAGUCAGUGGCGGUGCCGUCCGGCUCCGAGCGUAGUAAUUCUUCUCGCUCUGGAGGUCCGGUCGUGUGCUCGCCAGCAACCCCCAAUUUUUUUCAGGUUGACCUCGGAUCAGGUAGGGAUACCCGCUGAACUUAAGCAUAUCAAUAAGCGGAGGA
rnacentral:misc_RNA from 1 species